rnacentral:rRNA from 1 species
CAGUAGCCGCGGGAAUACGUAGGGUGCGAGCGUUAAUCGGAAUUACUGGGCGUAAAGCGUGCGCAGGCGGUUGUGUAAGACAGGUGUGAAGUCCCCGGGCUUAACCUGGGAACUGCGCUUGUGACUGCACAGCUAGAGUAUGGCAGAGGGGGGUGGAAUUCCACGUGUAGCAGUGAAAUGCGUAGAGAUGUGGAGGAACACCGAUGGCGAAGGCAGCCCCCUGGGCCAAUACUGACGCUCAUGCACGAAAGCGUGGGGAGCAAACAGGAUUAGAGACCCGAGUAGUCCCUGUCUCUUAUAC